GGGGCAAUGGUGGCUGGUGGACUUAGAACCCACGGCGAGGGUGGCCGGUGUAAUCAUAACAAACCGUGGGGACGGAUAUACCUACCGUCUGAAUAAUUUCGAAGUGAGAGUUGGAACCACUUACGAGGAUAGUUCAUCAUUCAGCCAGUACAAACUCUGCGCCAGUUACCCGGGGGUGGCACCUGUGGGGAACACGUCUCUGUCCUGUGGGUCACCACUGAGAGGACGAUAUGUCUUGAUCAUUAAAGUUGGCAGUGACAACCAUCAAUUGCAGCUAUGUGAAGUGGAGGUUCAUGGUAUUUCAAGUGCAACCACCUUCCAGAGGGUAGCUGCAGAUGCUCGUGCAAGCCUUGUGCCCAUAUCCACGCUGAAUG